GCUUUGAUUUUGUCAACUGUUGGUAAAUCUUGUCCUUUUGUUACACCCGGUAUAUUGGCACUGCUCUAGCCAGCAAUCACGAGAUAGCAAUGGUGGGGGGUUCCGGUCGGUCGAAGCAACGCGCCGAAGCAAAGAACGUUGCUGGUCCGAGAAGAAUAGUGGUGGGAGUAGAACAGAACGAAUAGAGGGGAUACGACGUUCCAUGCCGUCCAUCGGCCGCUCCCCGGACGGCAUUAUCGUGGCAAAGUGGGGAACGGAAGGGUGGGGCAAGCAACCUGCGCGAUGGAACAACUGAUUCAGUGCGCGGUACGUCCCAUCUAGAAAGCAUGAGCCCCGGUUUACCAACGUGGUCCAUUGUUAUGCAUUCGAAAAGUAACAUCAGAGUACAUUGUUGGAGACACGCAGGCGCGCAUCUCUUCCUUUUGUGAUUAGCGCGUUCAUCUGGGACGUCGUUGACCACUGUGUUCCCUUUUUUUCCCGCGCGCACCGAAACUUUCACCCCUCUGACUCGGUGAAUUUCGACACACCCCUGGUCCCCCUCUCUCUCUUCAUCUCUUAUCUCUACUUCUCACCUUUCUUUUCGGCGCUCAAACACCGAGUGUCCAGUGUUCCGACAUCAGAAUUAUCGAGUGAGUGCUGAAAAGUUGUUGGUUGAUAACGAUAUGAAGAGGUAGUUGGACGAUAUCGGAAGGGUUUCGAAGCAUCGCGUCGGUUCGCCGUGUGAUAUAGGUUUACGAACGCGAUAACGUUCGAGAUUGUUUGUAUGCGUCUUUGUUCGUCGAGAAAUGGCCGGAACGGAAGUGUGAGUGAGAAGCAAAGCUGCUUGCAGUGAUACCGCGUCCUUGCUGUACCGAUCGGCUUGGAAUUUUCUUGCCGGGCACUUUAACGACCGAUUCGAUGGUUCGACGACGAAGCAACAGUUAAGGUUUCCUCAUGUGGCGAAAAAGAGUCACCGCUGUUCGUUCACCGCCUCACCUACGUCCCAUCAAAGCUGAAAAACGAGACGGCAUGGACUAGCCGCUCGGGUCGUGGAAACCCUUGGAAGGGAAAAGGGCAGCGGCAUCCCCUCCCUACGCCCUGCUACCGUCGCGACGCUCGACGACGCUGCUACGUCGUCGCACCGCAGCCAC